rnacentral:rRNA from 1 species
AUUGAACGCUGGCGGCAGGCCUAACACAUGCAAGUCGAGCGGAUGAAGGGAGCUUGCUCCGGGAUUCAGCGGCGGACGGGUGAGUAAUGCCUAGGAAUCUGCCUGGUAGUGGGGGAUAACGUCCGGAAACGGGCGCUAAUACCGCAUACGUCCUGAGGGAGAAAGCGGGGGAUCUUCGGACCUCACGCUAUCAGAUGAGCCUAGGGCGGAUUAGCUAGUUGGUGGGGUAAAGGCCUACCAAGGCGACGAUCCGUAACUGGUCUGAGAGGAUGAUCAGCCACACUGGAACUGAGACACGGCCCAGACUCCUACGGGAGGCAGCAGUGGGGAAUAUUGGACAAUGGGCGAAAGCCUGAUCCAGCCAUGCCGCGUGUGUGAAGAAGGUCUUCGGAUUGUAAAGCACUUUAAGUUGGGAGGAAGAGCAGUAAGUUAAUACCUUGCUGUUUUGACGUUACCAACAGAAUAAGCACCGGCUAACUUCGUG